rnacentral:rRNA from 1 species
AUUCCAGCUCCAAUAGCGUAUAUUUAAGUUGUUGCAGUUAAAAAGCUCGUAGUUGGAUUUCGGGCGGGGUUGGCCGGUCCGCCGUUUCGGUGUGCACUGGCUGGUUUCGUCUUAUUGUCGAGGACGCGCUUCUGGCCUUUACUGGUCGGGACGCGGAGUCGGCGCAGUUACUUUGAAAAAAUUAGAGUGUUCAAAGCGGGCAUACGCUUGAAUAUAUUAGCAUGGAAUAACACUAUAGGACCUCGGUUCUAUUUUGUUGGUUUCUAGAGCUGAGGUAAUGAUUAAUAGGGAUAGUUGGGGGCAUUCGUAUUUAACUGUCAGGGGUGAAAUUCUUGGAUUUGUUAAAGACGGACUACUGCGAAAGCAUUUGCCAAGGAUGUUUUCAUCA